GAGAACAUUUAGAAGAAAUUUUGAACAUUGCUGAAAAAUACCGCGUCCCAGUUCUCUGUGAUGAAGUUUACGCGCAUGUCACAUUCGGCAAAGAGCCUUUCCAUAACAUGGGAUGUUUAAAAAUAAAUUUUCUUGUUCUAGUUGUCGGUGGCAUCGCCA